rnacentral:tRNA from 1 species
GGAUUGUGGCUCAGUGGUAGAGGGUUCUCGCCUAGCACGGGCGGGGCCUGGGUUCGAUCCUCAGCACCA